GCCUUCGUUGUGUAGCGGUCAGCAUGCUCGACGCGUGACCGAGAGGUUCGUGGUUCAAUUCCCGGGGAAGGCA
rnacentral:tRNA from 1 species